UACGUAGGGUGCAAGCGUUAUCCGGAAUUAUUGGGCGUAAAGAGCUCGUAGGCGGUUUGUCGCGUCUGCUGUGAAAACCCGAGGCUCAACCUCGGGCCUGCAGUGGGUACGGGCAAACUAGAGUGCGGUAGGGGAGACUGGAAUUCCUGGUGUAGCGGUGAAAUGCGCAGAUAUCAGGAGGAACACCGAUGGCGAAGGCAGGUCUCUGGGCAUUGACUGACGCUGAGGAGCGAAAGCAUGGGGAGCGAACAGG
rnacentral:rRNA from 1 species